rnacentral:lncRNA from 1 species
AUAGGAUGUCCACCACGGAUUAUGGGGUGCCCCCCUGGAUUAUGGGGUGUCCCCAUGGGUUAUGAGGUGUCCCCAUGUCAUUUUUGGGGUGACCCCAUGGAUUAUAGGAUGUGCACCAUGGAUUAUGGGGUGUCCCCAUGGAUUAUAGGGUGUCCCUAUGGCAUUUUUGGGGUGUCCCCAUGGAUUUUGGGGUGUCCUGUGUCAUUUUUGGGGCAUCCUAUGGCAUUUUUGGGGUGACCCCAUAGAUUAUAGGAUGUCCCUGUGUCAUUUUUGGGGUGUCUCAUGGUUUUUUGGGGUGUCCCCAUGGAUUUGGGGUGUUCUCAUGGCAUUUUUGGGGUGGCCCUAUGGAUUAUGGGGUCCACCAUGGAUUAUGGGGUGUCCCCAUGGAUUAUAGGGUGUCUCCCUGUCACUUUGGGGUGACCCCAUGGCAUUUUGGGGUGACCCCAUAGAUUAUGGGGUCCACCAUGGAUUAUGGGGUGUCCCCAUGGGUUAUGGGGUGUCCCCGUGUCAUUUUGGGGUGACCCCAUGUCAUUUUUGGGGUGACCCCAUGGACUAUAGGAUGCCCCCGUGUCUUUUUUGGGGUGUCUCCCUGUCAUUUUGGGGUGUCCUGUGUCAUUUUUGGGGCAUCCUAUGGCAUUUUUGGGGUGACCCCGUAGAUUUUGGGGUGUCCCUGUGUCAUUUUUGGGGUGACCCCAUGGAUUAUAGGAUGUCCACCAUGGAUUAUGGGGUGUCCCCAUGGAUUUCGGGGUGAUUCCCUGUCAUUUUGGGGUGACCCCAUGGCAUUUUUGGGGUGACCCCAUGGUCUAUAGGAUGUCCACCAUGGAUUAUGGGGUGUCCCCCUGGAUUAUGGGGUGUCCCCAUAGAUUUUGGGGUGACCCCAUGGAUUUUGGGGUGUCCCCAUGUCAUUUUUGGGGUGUCCCCGUGCCAUUUUGGGGUGCCCCCAUGGCUUAUGGGAUGUCCCCAUGGAUUUUGGGGUGUCCUGUGUCAUUUUUGGGGCAUCCUAUGGCAUUUUUGGGGUGACCCCAUAGAUUAUAGGAUGCCCCCAUGUCAUUUUUGGGGUGUCUCCCUGUCAUUUUGGGGUGACCCCAUAGAUUAUAGGAUGCCCCUGUGUCAUUUUUGGGGUGUCUCCCUGUCA